rnacentral:rRNA from 1 species
UACGUAGGGUGCAAGCGUUGUCCGGAAUUAUUGGGCGUAAAGAGCUCGUAGGCGGUUUGUCGCGUCUGCUGUGAAAACUCAGGGCUUAACUCUGAGCUUGCAGUGGGUACGGGCAGACUAGAGUGCGGUAGGGGAGACUGGAAUUCCUGGUGUAGCGGUGAAAUGCGCAGAUAUCAGGAGGAACACCGGUGGCGAAGGCGGGUCUCUGGGCCAUAACUGACGCUGAGGAGCGAAAGCGUGGGGAGCGAACAGG